UGGGGAAUAUUGGACAAUGGGGGCAACCCUGAUCCAGCCAUGCCGCGAGUGUGAAGAAGGCCUUUUGGAUGUAAAGCACUUUAAGCAGUGAAGAAGACUCCAUGGUUAAUACCCAUGGACGAUGACAUUAGCUGCAGAAUAAGCACCGGCUAACUCUGUGCCAGCAGCCGCGGUAAUACAGAGGGUGCAAGCGUUAAUCGGAAUUACUGGGCGUAAAGCGAGCGUAGGUGGCUUGAUAAGUCAGAUGUGAAAGCCCCGGGCUUAACCUGGGAACGGCAUCUGAUACUGUUAGGCUAGAGUAGGUGAGAGGAAGGUAGAAUUCCAGGUGUAGCGGUGAAAUGCGUAGAGAUCUGGAGGAAUACCGAUGGCGAAGGCAGCCUUCUGGCAUCAUACUGACACUGAGGUUCGAAAGCGUGGGUAGCAAACA
rnacentral:rRNA from 1 species